rnacentral:tRNA from 1 species
GCCGGGAUGGUGGAAUUGGUAGACACGCAAGACUUAAAAUCUUGUGACCGUUUGGUCGUGCGGGUUCAAGUCCCGCUCCUGGUA